rnacentral:rRNA from 1 species
AUUGAACGCUGGCGGCAGGCCUAACACAUGCAAGUCGAGCGAGAGGCGGACGGGUGAGUAAUGUAUGGGGACUGCCCGAUAGAGGGGGAUAACUACUGGAAACGGUAGAUAAUAUAGCAUACUAUCGGAUAACCCAUAUGGGAUUAGCUAGUAGGUGAGGUAAUGGCUCACCUAGGCGACGCUCCCUAGCUGGUCUGAGAGGAUGAUCAGCCACACUGGGACUGAGACACGGCCCAGACUCCUACGGAGGCAGCAGUGGGGAAUAUUGCACAAUGGGCGCAAGCCUGAUGCAGCCAUGCCGCGUGUAUGAAGAAGGCCCUAGGGUUGUAAAGUACUUUCAGUCGGGAGGCGUUACCUGCAGAAGAAGCACCGGCUAACUCCGUGCCAGCAGCCGCGGUAAUUC